rnacentral:rRNA from 1 species
UACGGAGGGUGCAAGCGUUAUCCGGAUUCACUGGGUUUAAAGGGUGUGUAGGCGGGCUGUUAAGUCAGUGGUGAAAUCUCCGGGCUCAACCCGGAAACUGCCAUUGAUACUAAUGGUCUUGAAUUUUGUUGAGGUAGGCGGAAUAUGUCAUGUAGCGGUGAAAUGCUUAGAUAUGACACAGAACACCAAUUGCGAAGGCAGCUCACUAAACUAUAACUGACGCUGAGGCACGAAAGCGUGGGGAUCAAACAGG